GCUCCCUCCGAACAGGACCCCAAGAUUUAUUCCUUUAAACUUGUUAUUUAUCGAUCUUUUUAAUAUAUCCAGAGCUGGAAUGAACAUAUCCUUUUCUUCUCAAACAGAGCUGGGKAGAGUGCAAGCAGAUGACUGAGAAUAAAAACUGAGGCAAAGUUACCACGAAGGGAUUGAACAAGGCACUAGGACCUAGGAGGAGUCUCAUCCACCCUGGCAGGAAUUUCUUGCUUGGAGCUCAGACAACAAAGGCAGAGUGAGCCUGGGUUUCUUUCUCUCAGCAUCUCCACCCUGUGCGCUGCAAACCGCUUCCGAUCUCUAGGGCUCCCCAAACUAUGGAACUUGAUUUUGGACAUUUUGACGAAAGAGACAAGGCGUCCAGGAACAUGCGAGGCUCCCGCAUGAACGGCCUGCCCAGCCCCACACACAGCGCCCACUGCAGCUUCUACCGCACCCGCACCCUGCAGGCGCUCAGCAACGAGAAGAAGGCCAAGAAGGUGCGUUUCUAUCGCAACGGGGACCGCUACUUCAAGGGGAUUGUGUACGCCGUGUCCUCCGACCGCUUCCGGAGUUUCGACGCUCUCCUGGCCGACCUGACCCGCUCCCUGUCGGACAACAUCAACCUGCCRCAGGGUGUGCGGUACAUAUACACCAUCGAUGGCUCGCGCAAGAUCGGCAGCAUGGAUGAGCUGGAGGAAGGGGAGAGUUACGUCUGCUCAUCUGACAAUUUCUUCAAGAAGGUGGAAUACACCAAGAAUGUAAACCCGAACUGGUCUGUCAACGUGAARACAUCUGCCAACCAGAAAGCGCCUCAGUCUCUGGCCAGCAGCAACAGCGCCCAGGCGAAGGAGAACAAAGAUUUUGUGCGUCCCAAGCUGGUCACCAUCAUCCGCAGCGGUGUGAAGCCCCGCAAGGCCGUCCGGGUCCUCUUGAACAAGAAAACUGCCCACUCGUUUGAGCAAGUUCUCACCGACAUUACUGAAGCUAUAAAGCUGGAGACCGGAGUCGUCAAGAAGCUCUAUACUCUCGAUGGCAAACAGGUGACCUGUCUCCAUGAUUUCUUUGGGGAUGAUGAUGUGUUUAUCGCCUGUGGUCCAGAAAAAUUCCGCUAUGCACAGGAUGACUUUUCUCUGGAUGAAAGUGAGUGCCGGGUGAUGAAAGGGAGCCCUGCGGCYGCCACGGGCAGCAAGUCGUCUCCCACCCCGCAGAAGAGCUCCGCGAAGAGCCCGGCCCCCAUGCGCCGGAGCAAGUCUCCAGCCGAUUCAGCAAAUGGGACCUCAAGCAGUCAGCUCUCUACACCCAAAUCCAAGCAGUCUCCGAUCUCCACACCCACCAGCCCAGGGAGCCUCCGUAAGCACAAGGACUUGUAUCUGCCUCUGUCUUUGGAUGACUCCGAUUCCCUGGGAGAUUCCAUGUAAAGCGACAUGAAGCUAGUUGUCCAUAUUGCAAGCUAUGGUUAAGAUACAGUAGAGUACUUCUGCCAAAAGAAGCAGAUAGGUGACUGGUGCUUUCAGAUCAGACAAAGGACACACAGUUAUAUGUCAUUUUUUUUCUGUGAUUUAUCCUCUGUGCCACAAAUCAACACCUAUCAAUCUAUAGAGAUAGAGGGAUACCAUUCUUCUAAGUAGAGUUAUAGGGAUGCAAAAUGGACAUUGCCAGCAAUUUAGGCCAGCGUGCCAGUGAUCCUGUGCAUUUCUCAUUUUCUUCUGUGAUUUCGUCCUCUGCUGCAACUACAUGAUUGUCGUAGCGAUAGCAAAAGAGCUCCCCCUGGAAGAGUGCAAUCUCUUGCUUGUGACCAAUUUGCAAACUCAAGUAGAGCAAAUGAUUUUCUUCACCUGUCCAAACUGCCAGUGUUUGCUAGCAGACCUGCUUCUCAUUUUCACCCCUGAUUGUAGCACCUGUAUGCCAACUAGUCCUGUUUUUGUUGCUGGAGGGCAGGAAGGGGAAUGACUUACUAGUUUGAUGCUCAUUGUACCAGCAGACUAUGCCAGCAGAAGUUUGGAAAAGAUUUGUAGCGGUUGCAUAAGAUGCUAAGUAAAGACACUGUCGAGUCUCCAAGCACAGGAAAGGAGUACCGGCUUGCUGACUGCUGUCACUAGCCUCUGCCUGUUUCCUUGGUCACAGAUAUAAUCACAGGUAGGAGGCUCUAGCCAAGCUGAGCCCACGCU